AAAAACUCCGGUGGUAUGGGAUGGGCCCGCGUCUGAUUAGCUAGUUGGCGGGGUAACGGCCCACCAAGGCGACGAUCAGUAGCCGACCUGAGAGGGUGGCCGGCCACAUUGGGACUGAGACACGGCCCAAACUCCUACGGGAGGCAGCAGUGGGGAAUAUUGCGCAAUGGGGGAAACCCUGACGCAGCAACGCCGCGUGAGUGAAGAAGUAUCUCGGUAUGUAAAGCUCUAUCAGCGGGGAAGAAGGAAGACGGUACCCGACUAAGAAGCCCCGGCUAACUACGUGCCAGCAGCCGCGGUAAUACGUAGGGGGCGAGCGUUAUCCGGAUUUACUGGGUGUAAAGGGAGCGUAGACGGCGUCGCAAGUCUGAAGUGAAAGCCCGUGGCUCAACCGCGGAACCGCUUUGGAAACUGCGAGGCUGGAGUGCUGGAGAGGUAAGCGGAAUUCCUGGUGUAGCGGUGAAAUGCGUAGAUAUCAGGAGGAACACCGGUGGCGAAGGCGGCUUACUGGACAGUGACUGACGUUGAGGCUCGAAAGCGUGGGGAGCGAACAGGAUUAGAUACCCUGGUAGUCCACGCGGUAAACGAUGAGUGCUAGGUGUCGG
rnacentral:rRNA from 1 species